rnacentral:lncRNA from 1 species
AAACUGAUUUUUCCUUUAGCCAGCAUUACGGUUUAAAACCAUAAACUGAGCUUUUCCAUGCAAUCAGCAUUAGGGUUUUAAACCCUAAACUGAAUUUUUCCUUUAGCCAGCAUUAGGGUUUUAAACCCUAAACUGAGCUUUUCCAUGCAAUCAGCAUUAAGGUUUUAAACCCUAAACUGAACUCUUUUCCUUUCAGCCAGCAUUAGGGUUUUAAACCCUAAACUGAGCUUUUUCCAUGCAAUCAGCAUUAGGGUUUUAAACCCUAAACUGAAUUUUUCCUUUAAUCAGCAUUAGGGUUUUAAAACCCUAACUGAACUUUUUUCCAUUCAGCCAGCAUUAGGGUUUUAAACCCUAAACUGAGCUUUU